CAGCAGCCGCGGGAAUACGUAGGGUGCGAGCGUUAAUCGGAAUUACUGGGCGUAAAGCGUGCGCAGGCGGUUGUGUAAGACAGGUGUGAAAUCCCCGGGCUUAACCUGGGAACUGCGCUUGUGACUGCACAGCUAGAGUAUGGCAGAGGGGGGUGGAAUUCCACGUGUAGCAGUGAAAUGCGUAGAGAUGUGGAGGAACACCGAUGGCGAAGGCAGCCCCCUGGGCCAAUACUGACGCUCAUGCACGAAAGCGUGGGGAGCAAACAGGAUUAGAUACCCGGGUAGUCCCUGUCUCUUAUAC
rnacentral:rRNA from 1 species